rfam:Gracilibacillus kekensis strain CGMCC 1.10681 genome assembly, contig: Ga0079828_104
AGUGAGAAUAGAGGUGCAAAAACCAUUAGUAAAUAAUCGGAGGACGAUGUAGCCUGUGAUGAUUAUUGAAAGGGGAAUUUGCCGAAGUGAUUUAGAAUUACAUUCUUCUCUGUCACUGGUCCUACAUUGAAAAAAUGUCGGGCUGUCAUAUAGUGCUACACUAUAUGGAGGGCUAUCUCACGC